UUUAGAAGAAGUUUCGCAUACCUCUUCUUGUGUUUCCUCAUGUGCCAUGAGACAUAAGUUGGUAGUCUCAUCUUCUUCUCCAUCACUUGAUUCAUCCUCUGAGUCGCCUCCCAAGAGAUGUAGGCUCUUUGUUUCUUGACGAACUUCUUUUCCGUCUUGGUGUUUGGACAUUUGGGUUUGAUAUGCCCAACUUCUCCACAUCCAUAGCAUUUGAGUUGUCCUCCUUGCCUCUUUCCCUUCCGUUCAUACUCUUUACGCAUAAACUUGUGGAACUUUUUAAUAACGAGUCCAAACUCGUUAUCCUCGUCGCUUGAAUCCUCAAUGACUUGAGGUUGUGAUGUGGAGGCUUUGAGUGCGAUCCUUCUUUUC
rnacentral:lncRNA from 1 species